rnacentral:rRNA from 1 species
UACAGAGGUCUCAAGCGUUGUUCGGAUUCAUUGGGCGUAAAGGGUGCGUAGGUGGCGCGGUAAGUCGGGUGUGAAAUCUCGGAGCUUAACUCCGAAACUGCAUUCGAUACUGCCGUGCUUGAGGACUGGAGAGGAGACUGGAAUUUACGGUGUAGCGGUGAAAUGCGUAGAUAUCGGGAGGAACACCAGUGGCGAAGGCGACUACCUGGCCUGUUCUUGACGCUGAGGCGCGAAAGCUAGGGGAGCAAACGGG